UUGGUGUGUUUUUUUUUGUCGUGCGCUCAGCCAUCUUGUCUGGUUUGUUUAUAAACAAACUAGACAAGAUGGCUGAGUGCACGGAGCGCACCGCAAAUUCCUUCACCCGAGCCGCGAAGGAAAGUAGCAACUUUAACACCGGCUGCUUCCAAUAAUUCCGGAUUGGGACGUGUACGGAAAUUGAAUAGAGCCGCCUGCUUCCAAUAAUUCCGGAGGUGUUCGGGAAUAGAGUGGCAACCACUUACGCUAGGGAGGCAAUUGAACACCUAGACCUGGACUCAUCAACUCAAGGGCCAGGAUCCACGGCUGUGCUUCUUUUCGAAGGAAGGCAUGACACCACCAAAGCAACCAAGGAAGUCAUCAAUCCCCACCAACUGACGAGUUUCGUUUGUGGUUCGACACAUGGACGGAGCAUUUGUGUUUUGCUAAAUUUUGCAAAUUAUUGGGGAAUUUCCCUAAAGUUUCACGCGGCCACCAGUUUUCACUCUUCCACAGGCCUUAAGGGUAACCCACAUUAGAUCUGCUUGCGUUGCGUUGUCGUAAAUUUUAUAGUUAGACAAUAUAUUUAGCUGUCACUUUGCUGCAUCGCGCCAGAUCCGGAUCUAAUGUGGGUGGCCCUGUAGAUUUGGAAACUUGAUUAUGUAAAUACUAGGCAUCUUUGUCUGGUAGUUCGUUCAAAAAUGAUACAACAAUCGUCAAGCUCGCUGUAACGUCACCUAGUGCCUCGUCACCUACAAAUUGGCGCCUAUGUCAGUGGUCUAAUAACUCUUAGCGCGCUAAUGGCAUAGUUCCCCUGCCGCAUAGAGAGUUACCACAAUGACAUUAGGUUAGCUAAGGUCAGUUAACUGACUGGUGGGAAACGGGAGCUUACGCAAUGGCUAUUCUGUAUGCAUUUAAGAGAUAGUCUACCAGAAUGGAUGAUUUUUUUUGUACAAUUUUAUGUUUUCUGAUUGUGCAAAACAUGAGA